rnacentral:rRNA from 1 species
AAUGACGGNACCUGAAGAAUAAGCACCGGCUAAUNACGUGCCAGCAGCCGCGGUAAUACGUAGGGUGCAAGCGUUAAUCGGAAUUACUGGGCGUAAAGCGUGCGCAGGCGGUUUUGUAANUCUNUCGUGAAAGCCCCGGGNUCAACCUGGGAAUGGCGAUGGAGACUGCAAGGCUUGAAUCUGGCAGAGGGGGGUAGAAUUCCACGUGUAGCAGUGAAAUGCGAAGAGAUGUGGAGGAACACCGAUGGCGAAGGCANCCCCCUGGNUCAAGAUUGACGNUCAUGCACGAAAGCGUGGGGAGCAAACAGGAUUAGAUACCCCUGGUANUCCACGCCCGUAAACGAUGAGUGCUAGACGUCGGNGCCCUCAGGGCUUUCGGUGUCGCCGCUAAACGCAUUAAGCA